rnacentral:rRNA from 1 species
GGGCCCGCACAAGCGGUGGAGCAUGUGGUUUAAUUCGAUGCAACGCGAAGAACCUUACCAGCCCUUGACAUCCUCGGAACUUGGCAGAGAUGCCUUGGUGCCUUCGGGAAUCGAGUGACAGGUGCUGCAUGGCUGUCGUCAGCUCGUGUCGUGAGAUGUUCGGUUAAGUCCGGCAACGAGCGCAACCCACAUCCCUAGUUGCCAGCAGUUCGGCUGGGCACUCUAUGGAAACUGCCCGUGAUAAGCGGGAGGAAGGUGUGGAUGACGUCAAGUCCUCAUGGCCCUUACGGGUUGGGCUACACACGUGCUACAAUGGUAGUGACAAUGGGUUAAUCCCAAAAAGCUAUCUCAGUUCGGAUUGUCGUCUGCAACUCGACGGCAUGAAGUCGGAAUUGCUAGUAA